AAAUGUCUUGGGUUUUUUAUGGUUGCCUUCGUCCUAAAUAGAAAAGAUAACUGGAUGUGGAUGAGUUUGAUGAAUGUUAAAUGUGACUUUAUGUUCAUCAGGUCAUUUGGUUUUUUUGAAUUUGAGGCACUCGCUGCUGCAACUUUGUCCAGUCUAGUAAACAUGAGUGUGGUGGGUUUUGACUUUGGGAAUGAGAGCUGUGUGGUUGCUGUUGCAAGGCAAAGAGGUAUUGACGUCGUUCUUAAUGAUGAGUCCAAGCGUGAGACUCCUGCUGUCGUAUGCUUUGGUGACAAACAGAGAUUCCUUGGAACAGCAGGAGCUGCAUCGAGCAUGAUGAAUCCCAAAAAUACAAUAUCCCAAAUAAAGAGGUUGAUUGGACGCCAGUAUUCAGAUCCUGAGCUGCAGCAGGAUCUCAAAGCCUUACCCUUUUCUGUGACCGAAGGGCCUGAUGGAUAUCCUUUGAUUCAUGCACGUUAUUUGGGAGAAAUGAGGACUUUUACACCUACCCAGGUCUUGGGAAUGGUUCUUUCCGAUUUGAAGAGUAUUGCUGAAAAGAAUUUGAAAGCAGCGGUUGUAGAUUGCUGCAUUGGUAUACCCGUUUAUUUCACAGACCUUCAGAGGAGAGCUGUCAUAGAUGCUGCAACAAUAGCUGGAUUGCACCCUCUCAGACUUAUUCAUGAGACUACUGCUACGGCUUUAGCUUAUGGUAUUUACAAGACUGACUUACCUGAGAAUGACCCGUUACAUGUUGCUUUUGUUGAUGUUGGGCAUGGAAGUAUGCAAGUUUGUAUUGCUGCUCUAAAGAAAGGUCAGCUGAAAAUAUUGGCCCAUUCUUUUGACAGGUCCCUUGGUGGAAGGGAUUUUGAUGAAGUUCUUUUCCAACACUUUGCUGCAAAGUUCCAGGAGGAAUACAAGAUUGAUGUCUUCCAGAAUGCCAGGGCUUGCCUCAGGCUUCGUGCAGCUUGUGAGAAGUUGAAAAAGGUUCUCAGUGCAAAUCCCGAGGCACCUUUGAACAUUGAGUGCUUGAUGGAUGAGAAGGAUGUCAGAGGUCAUAUUAAGAGAGAGGAAUUUGAGCAAAUUAGUGUUCCAAUAUUGGAGCGUGUUAAGAAACCAUUGGAGAAAGCUCUUGCAGAAGCUGGACUUACUGUUGAGAAUAUUCAUACAGUUGAAGUUGUUGGUUCAGGCUCUCGAGUUCCUGCUAUUAUGAAGAUAUUGACCGAGUUUUUUGGGAAGGAGCCCAGGCGUACAAUGAAUGCCAGUGAAAGUGUUGCCAAAGGAUGUGCUUUAGAAUGUGCUAUUCUUAGUCCCACAUUUAAAGUUCGUGAGUUCCAGGUAAUGGUUCUUAUAAUUGAUAAGCUCUCUCUCUCUCUCUCACACUUAGUUACACAAACACACAAAGAAGGCACAUGGAAGCUGACGUAUGGUUAUUAAAGAAAAAAACAUAAAAGAUCAAAGGGUGAGAAUUUUCUAUGAUGGUUAACAGCUAUGGAUUUCUAUAAAUCCAUUUAAAAUGUGAAUCUGUCCAAACUGUGCUGUUUUGUGAUAGAGAUGGAGAUAGUGGUUUGGAGUAGCAGUUCUAGAAAAGUUGCCUCACUGCUGCCUCAUGUUGCACGUAUUCUUUCUAUGUUUAAUAUCUUCGAACAGGCUACCUGGGAAGAUAUCUAACAGUGUGCAUUAUAGAGAUUUAUUAGGGGACUGAUGCAUCUCUAUUACUAAUUCUUCUUGCAAGAUACUAGAUUAAAUUUAUUUUAGGACAUUUUGUGCCUAACCAUCUUUCUGUCCAAAUUUAGGGGAGAUUACUACGUGAUAUCUGGAUUAAGAUCUGGUCAACAUUUUCUUUGCAGGUCAAUGAGAGCUUUCCAUUUCCCAUUGCCUUGUCAUGGAAAGGCUCUGCUCCAGAUGCACAGAAUGGACCCAUGGAUAACCAGCAGAUCACUGUUGUGUUCCCCAAGGGCAAUCCGAUACCAAGUAUGAAGGCUCUUACAUUCUACAGAUCUGGGACUUUCACAAUCGACGUUCAAUAUGCUGAUGUUAACGAAUUGCAGGCACCGGCUAAGAUUAGCACUUACACGGUAAUUUAUAUGCGCAUGCCUGUAAGAUCCAUUCAAUUUGUUUAGGGGGUAGCCUGGACAAUUUUUUUGGUAUCUACCUGACACAGCUUCU
rnacentral:lncRNA from 1 species